rnacentral:rRNA from 1 species
UACGGGGGGGCAAGCGUUGUUCGGAAUUAUCUGGGCGUAAAGGGCUCGUAGGCGGCCAACUAAGUCAGACGUGAAAUCCCUCGGCUUAACCGGGGAACUGCGUCUGAUACUGGAGUGGCUUGAGUUUGGGAGGGGGAUGGCGGAAUUCCAAGGUUCGGUAGCGGUGAAAUGCGUAGAUAUCGUGGAAGGAACACCGGUGGCGAAGGCGGCAUCCUGGAGCCAACACUGACGCUGAGUGAGCGAAAAGCCAGGGGAGGCAAACGGG